CGUUUAUUUGAUAUAUCAUUACUACUUGGAUAACCGUGGUAAUUCUAGAGCUAAUACAUGCUAAAAAUUCCGACUUUUGGAGGAAUGUAUUUAUUAGAUAUCAAACCAAUACUUUUUUAAAGUUUCAGGUGAUUCAUAAUAACUUAUCGCAGCGCAUAGCUUUUGCUAGCGCGAGAUCAUUCAAAUACCUGCCCUAUCAAGUUUAGAUGUGAGGGUAGKGUCCUCMCAUGCUUUUGACGGGUAACGGGGAAUUAGGGUUCGACUCCGGAGAGGGAGCCUGAGAAACGGCUACCACAUCCAAGGAAGGCAGCAGGCGCGCAAAUUACCCAAUCCCGACACGGGGAGGUAGUGACAAGAAAUACCGAUACAGGGCUCAUAAGGGCCUUGUAAUUGGAAUGAGUACAAUUUAAACCUAUUAACGAGGAACCACUAGAGGGCAAGUCUGGUGCCAGCAGCCGCGGUAAUUCCAGCUCUAGUAGCAUACAUUAAAAUUGUUGCAGUUAAAACGCCCGUAGUUGAAGUUUGGAUUUGGUUAUUUAGUCCGCCUCACCGCGUGUACUAAUAUGACUAGAUCUUUCUUUCUAAAAUUGCAUUUGUCAUUUAUGAUGAAUGUUUUAUUUUUAGGAUUUUUACUUUGAAAAAAUUAGAGUGUUCAAAGCAGGCAUUUGCUCGGAUACUACAGCAUGGAAUAAUGAAAUAUGACUAGUGGUUGUAUUUUGUUGGUUUGGAUGACCGCUGUAAUGAUGAUAGGGAUAGUCGGGGGCAUCGGUAUUUGUUUGUCAGAGGUGAAAUUCUUGGAUUAAACAAAGACCAACUGUUGCGAAAGCAUUUGCCAAGGAUGUUUUCAUUAAUCAAGAACGAAAGUUGGGGGCUCGAAGACGAUCAGAUACCGUCCUAGUCUCAACCAUAAACGAUGCCGACCAGGGAUCGGCGGAUGUUGCUUUUAGGACUCCGCCGGCACCUUAUGAGAAAUCAAAGUCUUUGGGUUCCGGGGGGAGUAUGGUCGCAAGGCUGAAACUUAAAGGAAUUGACGGAAGGGCACCACCAGGAGUGGAGCCUGCGGCUUAAUUUGACUCAACACGGGGAAACUYACCAGGUCCAGACAUAGUAAGGAUUGACAGAUUGAGAGCUCUUUCUUGAUUCUAUGGGUGGUGGUGCAUGGCCGUCUUAGUGGUGGAGUGAUUUGUCUGCUUAAUUGCGAUAMCGAACGAGACCUUAACUUGCUAAAUAGCCUGAUUAGCUUUGGCUGAUUUUUGGCUUCUUAGAGGGACAUUCGGCUCAAGCCGAUGGAAGUUUGAGGCAAUAACAGGUCUGUUAUGCCCUUAGAUGUUCUGGGCCGCACGCGCGCUACACUGACAAAGCCACUGGGUAUUUUUUCCUUAUCUGAAAAGAUUGGGUAAUCUUAGAAACUUUGUCGUGCUGGGGAUAGGGCAUUGUAAUUAUUGCCCUUCAACGAGGAAUGCCUAGUAAGCGUGUGUCAUCAGCACACGUUGAUUACGUCCCUGCCCUUUGUACACACCGCCCGUCGCUACUACCGAUUGGAUGGUUUAGUGAGAACUCCGGACUGAUUAAAGAAAAUGGCAACAUUUUCUUAGUGUUGGAAAGCUGUUCAAACUCGGUCAUCUAGAGGAAGUAAAAGUCGACAUGACC
rnacentral:rRNA from 1 species